rnacentral:rRNA from 1 species
AAGUCUUGACAUACUGUGAGGACACAAGAGAUUGUGUUGUUCUGACCUUUGGUUAGACACAGAUACAGGUGGUGCAUGGUUGUCGUCAGCUCGUGUCGUGAGAUGUUGGGUUAAGUCCCGCAACGAGCGCAACCCCUAUGUCUAGUUGCCAGCAGUAAGAUGGGGACUCUAGACAGACUGCCAGUGAUAAACUGGAGGAAGGCGGGGAUGACGUCAAAUCAUCAUGCCCCUUAUGACUUGGGCUACACACGUGCUACAAUGGAUAGGAACAAAGAGAAGCUAACUCGCGAGAGCAAGCAAACCUCAUAAAACUAUUCUCAGUUCGGAUUGUAGUCUGCAACUCGACUACAUGAAGCUGGAAUCGCUAGUAAUCGCGAAUCAGAAUGUCGCGGUGAAUACGUUCCCGGGUC